UCAAGUACCCUAUUCUCUUGGCUCGGUGAGGGUACUAGACGUCUAGUUGUGUCGUUUGCAUUCAAUGUAGGAGUCUUUACAACAAAGAGUGUUUCUAUCAUCUCUUCAUUCAACUUAAAUGAGCUCGAUUUCAGUUGAUCCCAAACCAUUUCGCGAUCCGAACUUGCUCUCACUUUAUCCCAAUGCAAAGUUUUCAACUUUGGUUUGGGUUCCUCAG
rnacentral:misc_RNA from 1 species